AUGAAAACAAAAGCCAUGUCCUAUUUCUGCAGUGUCUCAGAAAUCUAGGCUCAGGCUGGUGGCAGAGGUUGGAGGCUGUCAGAGAGCUAAGAGGCCUCCUGGGGACAUGGCACUUGGCCUCCUUGCCUCCCCCAAUUGCCUCCCAUUUCACUUUUCUUUUCUCCUCCCCUAAAACCUCAGGGGGGAUCUUAACAAAGGGAAAAGACUCCCAACAGACCAUGUUUCUCUGCAGGGGUGGCCAUGCUGACUUUCGACAAGCCUUCAUUCUAAUGUGGCUGCUCAUCUGCUCUGAGGACAUCACAUCUACUGGAGCUAGAAACAAAUGAAAAUAGCGUGGAAAAGCUGCCAUCACAAGACAGGUCAUCACAAGACUGCUGUUUGCUCUUUCCACUGUUCAUUGCAUCCUCUUCAGGGUCAAGAAGAAGUCACCUGCCAAGGGAACAGUAGGAGAUGGAGAUGCAUUGUAUUGGUGGAGCUGUGAAGGUGGAGGUGCCUGGUACACCUUGACACAGUGACCUUGGAAGACAAGUAGCCUGGUCUCUUUUGCAUAUUGUGUUCUGAGUUCCAGAUUCAAGUACUUCCAACUGCUUCCUUGUCAUCUCCACUUGGUGAUGGAAUGAGCAGUCCAAACUUUCAUAUACUCAAUGAUAAACUCUUGACACUGUUUGGGUUUUAAGUUUAUUUUUGGAAGGGGACCCAGGGAACAAUAGUGAGGGACUAGGAAGAGUAAAAUGGAAAGAGGAAAAUCCAUUCCAAGGAACUAUGGUAGAGCUGGUUACUGCUGUGGAUACCUGGGGGCUUAGUUCCAAUGGGUGUUCUUUUAAAAGAUACACACGUUGAGCCUCAGAAUUAUCCACCUGCUCUAAACCCUCAUUGGUCAAAAACUGCCCCUGAGGUGUUAACUUCCUUGGUCUUCCAGGCUUACACAGGGACCUGAAUGGCUGAGUGAGCUUCUGGAAGAGUCCCAUGGAAAGGCUAAGAAACUCUGGGGCAAAAGGCAAGAAAUGCAAGGUGCAGCUGAGGCCACGGUGCUGCCAGGCUUCACCCACUGCAGCUUGUUGCCACAGCAACUGCUGGAACAAAAAGAGAAGAUGUCAGUGGAAGAGCAGAUGGUCCCAGAGCUUGGCGUGUAUCCUGAAGGAUUCUGUGCUCUUGAUCUUGUCCUCCAUUCUUCACAUUUUGCAGUGCAGGGGCCAAGAUGUCAGCAUGGCUAAGAAGAUGGCAGUCAUGGCCACCUCAAGUCCAGGUAUCCCCAGCUAAAGCCCAAACACCACCUAGGGGGACCUGAGAAUAUGUGCCUCUUUCUCUUUACUCCAAGACUGACUAAUAGAGCCAUGGUGUCUAUGAAAGCAUUUUGGAGAGCUCCAGUGACUAGGCUUCUCUUGGCACAAAUAUGCAAUUUCUCCUGGGGAGACAGCACAUGUGCUUUUCUGUAACUGGAGUACAUUUCAAUCUAAUAGAGAACAGGAAUAUAAUCCAGUACUAAUUUUAGAUGCCGGAUUCUUGUACAGAGCCACACUUUCAGGAAGGGAAAGAGGAAAGGCAAGUAGGUGUAUUGGCAUUGGGUUGGGGAAGCAAUUACAGAGGAAUUUUAGGACCUGCUUAAAAACACUAACACUUUCUGAACCAAGGUAGUGGUCUGCCCUAGGGAUGGGAAAAUAUGGUCUAUGGGCCAAAUCUGGCUGACUGCCUUUUUUUUUUUAAAGAAAAAAUAAUAAUAUUUUAUAGGAACACAGCCAUGCUCAUUUCUUACAAAUUGUCUAGGACUGCUUUUGUACUGCAAGGACAGAGGUGAGUAGUUGUUAUGGACAUAGUAUGGCCUUACAUGUUUACUAUCUGGACCUUUACAGAAAGAGAGUUUACUGACCCCUGGUGGAAAAAGCCAUGUACUGGGAAACUGAUUGAUCUGGAUUUUGAUUCUGCUAUGUAAUCUGGUAUGAGCACCUGGUCUACUCUCAGCCUCAGCUUUUUAACCUUUAAUAUGGUGCAUAAUUUGGGUUAAUUUACAUAAAUCCAUGCUCAUUUAAAAGUUUCUAGCUUAAAGAAAAGACUCAAUACAAACUGGCUAAACAACAAUAACAGACAAAAUAAAUGGACAUGCCUUGGGAAUUUACUGUGUACUCUGUCAAUUGCACAGAGUUAUUGUGACAAUAAAAUGAAAUCACAACUGGGAAAAUCCUGAAACCCUGAAAUUCUCUCCCAGUGACCACUGAAGCGAAAGCCCAAACUAGACCUCUGCCGUAUGCACGCAGCUGUACUUGGGCAUCAGGGGAGAGGCAAUGGUUCCACAGGUGGCCCUUCCCUGACUUGGGAAAUUCAAGUAGAGUUUAGAACUGCCCUUACCAUACCUUCCAUACUUGAAAGGAAGGCUAGGGAGAGAUUUGUUAAAGAAUACAAAGUUACAGUUAGACAGAAGCCCUGGUGUUCCAUACCACUAUAGGAUGACUCUAGCUAAUAUUAACAUAUUAUGUAGUUUCAAAUAGCUAGAAGGAGGAUAUUGACUAUUCCCAACACAAACAAAUGACAAAUGUUUGAGAUGAUAGUUAAUUACCAUAAUAUCAUUACUAUACAUUACAUGUAUCAAAACACCAUUAUGCACCCCAUGAAUGUGUACAAUCAUUAUGUGUCAAUUUUUAAAAAUCAUAAAAAAGAUAAUAAAAUCAGAAAAAAAAGUUAAAAAAAGAGGGAGUUUUUAGAUUAUUCCAAAUCAUAGAGGUAACAUGGAGGAAAAUAAAAAUAAGUGGGUUAGGGGCUGUGGGGGGCAUCUGAAGCCCAUUUGUCUUCCUGGUGCAAGUGUCCUCAGGGACUGGCCUCUUAAGAUGUGUU
rnacentral:lncRNA from 1 species